GAAGAUACAGCCCAUGCCAUCCACAAGACUACCUGCAAAUUUAAAGAAGACAGUACUUGCUAGAAAAUAAGCUAAUGUCAAAACCAGAGCUGCGUAAUAAUGCUUGGUGACAUGUGGCACAUACGAAGAGAUUCCUAACAUGCGUUGUGAAAGGCUGAAGGUCGUGCAAUGUUGUACAGUCACUAAUGUUAAGAAGAUAGGAGUCUGCCCCCAGAAACUUGUGCUGCAGUGGCAAGACAGAACAGACACAGCACUGGGUGGGACUUGGAGAGCGUCCUGGGAAA